AGUGUGAAUGGAGUAUGAAUGUGUGUGGUAGGCGACAGCUGUGUGUGUACGUCCGGGUGCGUGUGUGCGUGUGUACAUGUGAGCGUGUGUGCACGUGAGUUAGAGCCUGAGUGUCCCCUGCGUGGGUUAGUGUGUGCGCCCGCCCGGUGCCCUCCGUCUUGGGAGUCUGGGCUGCUGCUCCGCGGGCUCUGGAGCCGGCGCUCCCCACGAGCCCGGACUCUCCGCCGCGCCCGGGAGCUGCGCAAUCGGCUGCUAAGACGCCGGCGCCACCGGCUGGGCCCUGUUCUCCCCUCUCUUUUCUACAGUCUUACCCGCAGCUGACAGGGUUCGAAAGAGCAUGAAACGGAGGAGACGUUACAGCAACGUGUCAGCUGAAAUGAUGGGCGUAGACGCACGUCAGCGGCGGAAAUGGUUUCUAUCAAAAUGAAAGUGUUUAGAGAUUUUCCUCAAGUUUCAAAUGAGGCGAAUCCCGUUUUCCGCGAUGCUGCAGCGCGCGGGUUUUAACCGCAGGGUCACGCGGAACGCCGCGCCGCGCGACUGUGCCUCGGUCUCUGCGCCCGGCUCUCCCUCCGGUCCGCAAGAGGAGGAAGGCCCGCGGCGUGCCGAGGUCAGCGGCGCGGAGCCACCAGGCGAGACGGUCACGGACGCCUGAACCGAGGUCACCGAGGCCACGGGGCCGGGAGGCCCUCAGCAGAGCCCGGGGGCUCCGCACCUCAAGGCCGGCCAGGAAGAAACAGCAGCAGGAGCCCAGGGCGCCCCGGGGAGCCCCCGACACGCGGGCCGAGCGCCCAGAGCGGCCCAGGCCCUCGCGAGGAGACCGGCCUCCCCAGGGCGGGGCUUCCGACUCGGGCGCCCGUGAGCCCCGGAGGCGGCGCGAAGGGGCAGAGUCCGCGUUUCUAACCAGCCCCCGGGUGGGCGGUGGCCCGCGCGGCACGGUGGGCGCGAGCGCCGUGGGCUGGGGCCGGCCUGGGCUUUCAGGGCGAGGGCUUUCCGCGCCGGCCCCAGCCCACCCGGCCCCGCUGCGCGCCCCUCACGCUGCAGCCUGGGAACCUGGGCCGGGAGCUGCGGGCCGCUCCGGGGAAGCGGGCCUGACCUCCCCUCCCCACCGCCGCCCCUGCGGUGAGAUCCUGCCUGCCGGGGCGCAGGGGCCCGCGGUUGGGCUCCGGGAGACGGAAGAGGCCCCACAGCUCGGGCCCCACGCAGUGGACGCUGCCACUUAAUUUUGGCGUAAUUGAUGUCAAGGCGGGUGCCCGGGCCCCCAGUGAAAUGCCUCAUGAACUCGCUGCGAGGAACGGCGCUCCACGCGGUGCACGGUGGCCAAUCAGAGCUGCCGCUUCUGAUGGAGGCUGAGCCGGCUGGGGAGGCGUCUUGGCCAAGAACCAGCCCCAGCCUCGCUCAGGGCCCCAACCCGCAGACCAUGUAAUUAAGCUGCGUUCUGCAGCCAGGGCAAGAGUCUCAGCUCUGAACAUCUUCCCGCACCUCUGAGGAGCCAGGCCUGGAAACCCUCUAAAAUAGAUUUUUCUGCCUCAAGACAGAAGAUGGGCGUUCCAGGCAGAGAAGAGCUGCCCAGUCACGUGCUCUGCUCCACCUGGUCAGAGACCCUUGACCUUUAGAAGACUGGACCUGAGGGCGUGGCUGGUGGACCUGAGGGCGUGGAUGGUGGACCUGGCCACCCAGCUGUAGCUUUUUGGGUUCCUGUGGUCCCAUUUCUUGGGUCAAUCUCACACCUGGCAGCUCCCAGGAAGACACCCCCAGGCCCCUCACACUCCUGGGGGCAGCUGGAAUUGGCUUCAGGGCGGGACCAGGGGCCCCAUGGGUGUUUGGAAUCCCUGAUCUGGGUCAGGCACCGGCAGCAGGAUUCCAGCCUGGCCUGGACUCUGGUGUGUCCCGUUUGAAGAAACCCCGCCCUGUGAAAGUUCAAGUUUAGCAUCCAAUGACCCAUUUAAGAGGUUUGCUGAGCCACGUCACAGGAGGGUCUGGGUGCAAACGGAGGUGGCAACACACAGAGCGAGCCUUGAGCACCCAGGUUACCCCCAGGACCUCCAGUCUGGCUUGGGGGCUCCUGCUGUCCUGUGGAGCAGCCCCCUGGGAUCAGGGACGGGGCUGAGCUGGAGAGUGUGCAGGAUUGAUUAAUGAUGUCUGCCACGGUCAGGCCAACUGCUGUGUUUCUGGGGCCCACAAGCUAAAAAUGGUUGGAAAAAAAUCAAAACAUUAAUAUUUGUGACAUAUGAGAAUGCUAUGAAAGUCAACUUUGCUAUCCAUAAAUAAAGUUUU
rnacentral:lncRNA from 1 species